rnacentral:rRNA from 1 species
UACGGAGGGUGCGAGCGUUGUCCGGAAUCACUGGGCGUAAAGGGCGCGUAGGCGGCCUGAUAAGUAGGGGGGUGAAAUCCUGCGGCUUAACCGCAGGGCUGCCUUCUAAACUGUCAGGCUCGAGCACAGUAGAGGCAGGUGGAAUUCCCGGUGUAGCGGUGGAAUGCGUAGAGAUCGGGAAGAACAUCAGUGGCGAAGGCGGCCUGCUGGGCUGUUGCUGACGCUGAGGCGCGACAGCGUGGGGGAGCAAACAGGAU